UUGGAGCUAGGGUUAGGGUUAGGGUUAGGGUUAGGGUUGGAGCUAGGGUCAGGGUCAGGGUUAGAGCUAGGGUUAGGGUUAGGGUUGGGGCUAGGGUUAGGGUUAGGGUUAAGGAACAAUAGUAUUUUGCUGCGCUAACGUUGUUGCCUUUUUUCUGCAGCUCUUUGCAGGAUUUCUACAAUUUUCAAAUCAGAUUUUACUCUUUUAUUCAUUUUGCACUUUGCCAAGUUUUAUGGGGUCUUUACCGAAGAACUACUACCUUUGAAAACAUUCAUUUAUAACACAUUGCCUGAGAUUGCUGUUUCUGCAAAGUGUUUCCCAUAAGCAAGAUAAAUAGUAGACACAUCAAAACAUCAGUUGUCCUUUUAAAGAAAUUGAGAAGGUAAGCAAGGCAGCAGGUUGUAUCCUCCAGCUGUUUUUAUUGGGUUCUUGAAAACUCUUGGCGCCUGUGACUUUUAGGAGGUCAGAUAAACCUGCAGCAAAACAGGCAGUUGAGGCUUUAACUGCAGGAAACACAUCAGAGGGUUUAGAGGGUUUGAACUUCACAGUAAUAUCAGAGCACCACCCUUUGGGUCAUCACCAAAGACACUACGUAGUCUCAACAUCACCCAAGCAAAGUUUUGAAGCCUGUCAAUGACGGUUGCCAUAUCAGAAAUGCUAAUUCAGCCUAACUUCUAGUCAAUCUGGCAAGUGGCAGAGAGGUGGAGUUCAGAAAAGCCUCUCGCUAACAAUUACGAGGACACUCAAGGCAUUGUUGCUUUAUGCCCUGUUGAUUUUCAGGACUUGAAAGUGGUGCCCACUAUCUGU